rnacentral:rRNA from 1 species
CCCUUAGAUGUUCUGGGCUGCACGCGUGCUACACUGAUUAUUUCAACAAGUGUUUUAACUGGAGAGUUUGCGUAAUCCUGAAAUGUUAUCGUGAUGGGAGUAGAGUAUUGUAUUUGUUAAUCUUUAACGAGGAAUUCCUAGUAAGUGUAGGUUUAUAAGUUGUUCUGAUUACGUCCCUGCCCUUUGUACACACCGCCCGUCGCUCCUACCGAUUGAUUGAUCCGUGAAUUACAUAGAAUUUUGCGUUUUACAUGACGGAAGAAGAAGUGUUUUAAACCUUAUCAUUUAGAGGAAGGAGAAGUCGUAACA